rnacentral:rRNA from 1 species
UGGGGAAUAUUGCACAAUGGGCGCAAGCCUGAUGCAGCCAUGCCGCGUGUAUGAAGAAGGCCUUAGGGUUGUAAAGUACUUUCAGCGGGGAGGAAGGUGAUAAGGUUAAUACCCUUGUCAAUUGACGUUACCCGCAGAAGAAGCACCGGCUAACUCCGUGCCAGCAGCCGCGGUAAUACGGAGGGUGCAAGCGUUAAUCGGAAUUACUGGGCGUAAAGCGCACGCAGGCGGUUAAUUAAGUCAGAUGUGAAAGCCCCGAGCUUAACUUGGGAAUUGCAUCUGAAACUGGUUGGCUAGAGUCUUGUAGAGGGGGGUAGAAUUCCAUGUGUAGCGGUGAAAUGCGUAGAGAUGUGGAGGAAUACCGGUGGCGAAGGCGGCCCCCUGGACAAAGACUGACGCUCAGGUGCGAAAGCGUGGGGAGCAAACA